rnacentral:rRNA from 1 species
AUUGAACGCUGGCGGCAUGCCUUACACAUGCAAGUCGAACGGUAACAGGUCUUCGGACGCUGACGAGUGGCGAACGGGUGAGUAAUACAUCGGAACGUGCCCAGUCGUGGGGGAUAACUACUCGAAAGAGUGGCUAAUACCGCAUACGAUCUGAGGAUGAAAGCGGGGGACCUUCGGGCCUCGCGCGAUUGGAGCGGCCGAUGGCAGAUUAGGUAAUUGGUGGGAUAAAAGCUUACCAAGCCGACGAUCUGUAGCUGGUCUGAGAGGACGACCAGCCACACUGGGACUGAGACACGGCCCAGACUCCUACGAGAGGCGGCAGUGGGGAAUUUUGGACAAUGGGCGAAAGCCUGAUCCAGCAAUGCCGCGUGCAGGAUGAAGGCCUUCGGGUUGUAAACUGCUUUUGUACGGAACGAAAAAGCUUCCCCUAAUACGGGAGGCCCAUGACGGUACCGUAAGAAUAAGCACCGGCUAACUACGUGCCAGCCGCCGCAGUAAUAC